rnacentral:siRNA from 1 species
UCUCCACCUAUUGCCAAUUA